AGUGAACGCUGGCGGUAGGCCUAACACAUGCAAGUCGAACGGCAGCACAGGAGAGCUUGCUCUCUGGGUGGCGAGUGGCGGACGGGUGAGGAAUACAUCGGAAUCUGCUUUUUCGUGGGGGAUAACGUAGGGAAACUUACGCUAAUACCGCAUACGACCUACGGGUGAAAGCAGGGGAUCUUCGGACCUUGCGCGAUAGAACGAGCCGAUGUCGGAUUAGCUAGUUGGCGGGGUAAAGGCCCACCAAGGCGACGAUCCGUAGCUGGUCUGAGAGGAUGAUCAGCCACACUGGAACUGAGACACGGUCCAGACUCCUACGGGAGGCAGCAGUGGGGAAUAUUGGACAAUGGGCGCAAGCCUGAUCCAGCCAUACCGCGUGGGUGAAGAAGGCCUUCGGGUUGUAAAGCCCUUUUGUUGGGAAAGAAAUCCAGCUGGUUAAUACCCGGUUGGGAUGACGGUACCCAAAGAAUAAGCACCGGCUAACUUCGUGCCAGCCGCCGCGGCAA
rnacentral:rRNA from 1 species